AUGUUCAGUUCAAGCACCAAGAUCAUGAAGCCCAAUGGUGAGAAGCCAGACAAGUUCAAGUCCAGCAUCUCCAGGGUCUUCUGGAGCUGAAGAUGAACUUGGAUCUCAAGGCUCAGCUCAGGGAGCUGAAAAUAACAGCAGUCAAGAAACCUGAAGUUGAUGGUGGUCAGGAAGCUUAUUAUAAUCAUUGUUCCCAUUCCUCAGCUGAGUUCUUUCCAGAAAAUUCAAGUCCAGAUAGUACAUGAAUUGGAGAAAAAGUUCGGUGGGAAGCAUGCUGUAUUUAUUGCUCAGAGGAGAACUCUGCCUAUGCCGACUUGAAAAAAAUGAUACAAAAAAUAAGCAAAAGUAUCCCAGGAUCUGCACCCUAACAGCCACACAUGAUGCAAUCCUUGAAGACUUGGUCUGCCCAAGUGAAAUUGGGAGCAAAAGAAUCUGUGUGAAACCGGCUAGCAUUCAGCUCAGGAAAGUUCAUCGGGACAAAGCACAGCAGAACCACGUGGGGCACAAGGUUGAAACUUUUUCUGGUGUCUACAAAGAUCUCCUGGGCAAAGGUGUUAAUUGUGAAUUUCCAGAGUUUCCACUAUAA
rnacentral:lncRNA from 1 species